CUAAAAACGCUGACGAAGAAUAGUACAAAUGCAACCUGCCUGUAUAGAGAGUCUGUGGUCGCUGUAAACAGAUCAUGCACGCAUUUGGAAUGGACUUCUGAGUUGGCUUUGUGAACGUUCAUGUAUUCUCAUGAAACCCAUUAGCAAAGCUCGUUCCUUCACGUUACGAAGAAGAGUGGCCUUUUAGGCAAGCUGGGUGGUACCGCGGAUACAAACAUCAUUCGUCCCUUCA
rnacentral:ncRNA from 1 species